CACGUAGGGCGCAAGCGUUGUCCGGAAUUAUUGGGCGUAAAGAGCGCGUAGGCGGUCUGUUGCGUCCGCUGUGAAAACUCGGGGCUUAACCCCGAGCCUGCAGUGGAUACGGGCAGACUAGAGGUAGGUAGGGGAGAAUGGAAUUCCCGGUGUAGCGGUGAAAUGCGCAGAUAUCGGGAGGAACACCCGUGGCGAAGGCGGUUCUCUGGGACGGUACUGACGCUGAGACGCGAAAGCGUGGGGAGCGAACAGG
rnacentral:rRNA from 1 species